CAAGUUACCCUUCCUUUACCAACCCUUCUUUCUUCCCUUCUUUCUCCUCCUCUCUCUCUCUCUCUUUCUCUCUCUUUCUCUUUAACGUACACCCUUUAAAUCUCGAUUAGUUUCACAGUCUAGUUUCGUACCUUACAACGAUCGUAUGAAAUGUUUAUUUUCACACAAUUUCUUUUAAAUAUUGUUCGUAUUAUAAAUACAAUUUGUUUAUAACAAUAACAAAAAAAAAGAAAAAAUAGAAAUAUGUUGGGAGAUUCGUUAAAGUCGAUUGUUUUUUUCGAUAGUUAUUUACGAGUUUCUAAACCAAGAUUUAAAAAUGAAGAAGAAAGAUUACAAUUGAUAAAGGAUAUUCAAGAAGAAAUUCGUUUGGAGAGGUACAAUACGGAACGAGAAGUACUAUUGGAGAAUAGCCAAACGAUUAUGCGAAAAAUUCAAUUGGAAAAGACGUUGUUCGUUAUAAAUGAAAAUAAAAAAGCGUUUAUGGAUCACGUUCUUGCUACUGAGGAAGAGGAAAACUGGAUUAUGUAUUUGACGUGUGACGAUUUACCCGACGCCGCUCAAUUAUCCGAUAUGAAUACAUUCAUGUUUCUUUGGUCAUUGGAAGAAGAGAGAAAUAUCAAUAUGGAUAUUGUUAUUAAAAAAUGCAAAGUUGUUCUAUAUUUAUUGUCGAAACUUUACGAAAUAAUUAAUUUUUCAUUAACGAGAGCAACCAGUUACAUCGAGGAAUGUAAAAUGGUAAGACAAGAUUUUCGAGACAAGUUGCAAAAUUGUUUAGAUCAAGCUUGUUACCGUCUUUUACGUCAGAUCGAAAGAGAUAUGUUGAGACUUGAUCUAAGGAAUGCUAUUUACGUCAAAGAAUCUACUUACCUUGUUUGUUGCAUCUGGGCACUAAUUAAACUACCAAUUAGUAUUAAAAAUAUUCCUGAAAAGGACAGAAAACCUAUCGAGGUACAUUUCAAGGAAAUCGAAUUAACGAUAAAGAUGCCUUUAGACAUCGAUUGCUAUUGCAUGGCUAUUCGUGGAUUGUGGCUAGAUUACGAUCACUAUUCCGACAUUGGGACCUCUUACGUCAUGCCGGAAAUACCAGAGAAAUAUCAAAUGAACAUGGAUUUAUUAACAUUUUGUACGAACGAAUACGAAACGAAACGUAAGAUACGCGAGGAACAAUUGGAAGGACGUAGAUUAAGGUUGGAAGAAAAAAAAGCUAUGCUACGAAAAAUGGAGAAUCCGGUACCAGCAAUGACGAUAAAGUCAGAUAGAAGAGGAAGAAAAGGCGGUGGCCAAUAUGGUGGUCGUACGAAGAGACCGGAAUCGGAACAGGAAACGGAACCACUACCGUACUUACCGACACCAAAUGAGAUCAUUUUAUUAAAAGAAGAGGAAAUACGAAAGGAAGUUAGAAAACAAUUGUUUACAAGAUGCGAAAAAACGGAAAUUAAUUUACGAAAGUAUAGAAUAUUGGGUGGAAUUUAUCACAUAGAUCUCGUUUAUCAACCACCACAACCCAAAGACUUGAGAAGAAACAUUUUUCUCACCACUCUACAAAUACCUAAAGAAUUGAAACACGUGCCAUUUUAUAAACCAUACAAGGCACCACCACCUGCACCAGGUACGGAAAGAACACCGGAAGUCAUCGAGAAUGAAAUGAAAGCUUUGGAAACUGCAAUGGAAGCUCUUGCAUUGGUUACAUUGAAGUUACCAGAUACUGUAUUAUGGUUUGAACCACCAUUGGUUGCACACUGGAUUCCCGAAAAGAAAAUCUGGUCGACACAAGACAUUCACGAUAUCAAAUUUAACGAGGAAAAACAUCAUAUAACAUUUCGUACCGGUAGAUUAGGUAUUCAUGGAUUAGCUGCUAACAAAUUGAUCAAUUUACCAUUUCAAAGUUGGGAACUUAAACCGGAAAUGGGUAGAAAUAGUCGCGGUGGGGUUGUACUGAAUUUAACUGCUGCUACCGUACAAGCGGAAUUUGUUGUCAGGGAAGAUACGGUUUGUUUGAAUUCAUUAGUAGGUGGAACAUCCGCAGCAUUACAAAAUAUCGUCGGUGAAUAUAUGAAGUUAUAUUUUUUAAUAGACUUGUUUUAUUGUCGUCUACGACGAAAUGCGUCAGAAAAUGCGGGAAGGUGGAUGCGAUUUAUUUCCGGAACGAGACACGGCAAGUUACGUCAAAGGACUUUCUAUGAAACAUCCGGUAACCGAGAAACAUUUGCAACAAUGUAUUGGUCUACUUUGUACGGCUUAUACCUUCUCAUGGUCUAGGUGGAAUGUAACUAGAACUUCUCGUGAAAUUGUUUUACAAUUUAAAGAAUUACACGGAUGCUUUGCCAAACAGAGAACGAACUUGACACUUUUAGUGACGCCAUCAGAAACAAUGAUUGUUCAGUGUACCGAGGUCAGUUCAGAAUUUUCCAAUUUA
rnacentral:misc_RNA from 1 species